CACACCAGUUGUAAAGCCCAAAACAGAAUACUUUGCAUCAUAGUUACGAUGGAAAGCAAGAAGGUGUCGUAGCUUUGUGAGCUUGUUUAUUUCACCUGGCAUCUCAUGAACAUGUGUUUCUCUUAAGUCCAAUGUCUCUAAGUUCUGUAAUUCACCAAUAGAUUUAGGAAGAACCUUUACUUUUGUAUUCCUUAGGUUUAAGUACCUUAAGUGAAAAAGAUUCCCCAAAUUUUUAGGAAUAUGAUUCAAAGACGUACCCUGAAUGUCAAGUACCUUCAAUAUCCUAGAGUGUGAACAUAAUUUACCAAUGAAAGGCUCCAGCAAUCCACCUUUUCCAAAAACAUGAAUAGCACGAAAAUGUGAAUUGUUUGUUCUCUGCAACGCAUUGUUGGAAUUAGAAGCAAUUGAUAAGCGUCUAGUUAUUCCAACUGCAACUGAAUCACCUUCAUGCACAAAAUGACAGAAACUUAAAUUCUUCAUUUUUCUAAUGAUAACUUCCCGCAAUAAAUCAUGGACUUGACAUGUUUUAACUUUCCCUUCAAAGCCAACAUUUGAGACCUGAAUCAGACUUCUGUGAAUCAAUUCUGACAAGUAUUCCUCAGCCACUUGCUCCAAAGUUCUUCUCUCAUCAGAUUUGACAAACCCCUCAGCUAUCCAUUGCCUAGUUAGUCUCCUAUGAUUAAUGGAGUAAUCCUCUGGAUAUAUACCAAAAUACAAAAUGCAUGGUUUUAAAUAGUACGGCAGGCUGUCAUAACUGAGAGAUAAAAUCUUUGUUAGACUAGUUAAAUGGGCAUUACGUCCCAAUUCCAGUCUCAUAUUUUCACUCACGUUUUGCCAUUCAAUCAUUGUUUUAGAUUUUGUUGAAAGUAGACCACCAAUGGCUACAAUUGCCAGAGGUAGCUGCUUGCAUUUUUGAACAAUUUCUUUUGACACAGCCUUAAGCUCUGGUGGACAAUGCCCACCAGGUUCAAAUCUAAAUACUUUCUUACAGAAGAGUUCCCAUGCUUUGUUUGGAGGCAAAAGUUGCAGGUUAUGAAUAUGAGUUAGAAAGGAUUUCUUGAAAAAUUCUGCAACAUGCAUCAUUCUAGUAGUGAUUAUGAUCCUACUACCUUUAUUGUUAUUAGGCAUGGCAAAUUCAAUCUGGUCGGAAAAAUCUUCUUGCCAAACAUCAUCAAAGAAUAUCAAGUACCUCUUAUGUUGGAGGUAUUGCCUCACUUCUUCAAUCAGUGACUGGUCAUCCUUUUUGUGCAACAUCUGUGGAAGAGGGUCUUCAGUUCCCCGACAAAAUUGCUCCAUCAUGUUUAUCAACAAACCUCUCACAGUGUAUGAUUGAGAAACUGUGACGCAAGCAUAACAAUCAAAGUUUGCUGUUACCUUUUGGCUUUCAAAAACUAGCUUGGCAAGAGUGGUUUUUCCUAGACCCCCCAUUCCUACCACUGAUAUGACUGUGCGCUCAGCUGCACCCUCCAAUAACCAACCAUAUAUUUCUUCUCUUGGGCCUUCAAAUCCUACAAUUUCUGUUUCUUCAAUGAAAAGGGAAGACAGUCGAGGGUCGUGCCAUCUUCCAUUUUCUGCCUCUCCAGGACUGCUGUUGCUGCUGCUUGAGGAUCCUUGUUCAUUUGAAAUUUGAAAGUUAUACCUCUCGCUUCUUUUCUUGAUUCCGUGAGUUGUCAGCUUGAUGUCUUGAAUCUCUGAUGCAAUUUUGUGACGGGGAAUCAAAGUUUUGAUUAACCUUGGAGUCAUGCAUAAAGAUCUGCAUCCAGGAGGAUUGGCCCUAUGCAUUAGUCGAAGGUAUUCAUCAAUGACAUCUUCAAUGCGAAAUGAUGCUUCUCUCAGCUGCUUCACCCAAGUUCUUAUUCCAUCGUUGAUGUCUGCUUCAUCCGCAGCCCUUCUGUCUGCAUCUUUGAGGAAGACUAGAAUGAUCUCAAGUUCAUCUUUGAUAUCUGAAAAAUCUCUGUGUACACCUCUCAGAAGAUUUGUUUCUUCUUUUAGGAAUUUGAACACUUCCCCUAGGGCAAACAAUACUGCAGUCUCUGCCAUUUAACUCUCAUAUCAUUCUAGUGUGGUAUUUUUCCUCUCUUUUUAUUUUUCUCUGUACAGCAACUUUGAAUGGUGGUAGGGAAAACAAAGCCUUAAAAGACAAUAUUUUUUUGUUGUUAAAAGUGUAUAGUAAUGUGAUGUAACGUGCUUUAGAUUUAUUAAUUUGGUGUACAGCUGUGAUGCAACUAAACAUGCUUAAAAAAUAUGACUUUGACCAACUCAUCUGUGGCAGCACUCAUCUGUCUUACAAUUAAUUAUUAAUUAGUUACAAACAUGUUCUUCGCACGGGUUCAACAAUGUAUUCGGUAAAAAAAUUCUUUGAGAGAAGAGAUGUUAAAACGACGGAACAUUGUAAUUCAUUAUAAAAUAUAUAUGAGUUGAUUAAGAGAACAUAUAAUCAGUUUAUGAGAUUAAGAAUUGACAUAAUAUUUAGGAUGAAAACAAUUGAAACCAAUAAAGGAAUCAAUGAUGUGUUAAUUAUGAUUAUAUAUUAUUCAAAAUUAUAAAAAAAGAGUGUUGUUGUAACACCCUAUUUUAUUAUUUAUUUACUUUAAUUGAGUUUAGAUGUCUUUUUAUAAUUUAGUCGAUUUAUUUUGAUGAAUGAUAUUUUGUUAUGUUAUAUGUUGGUAUAUAUUAGUCUAAAAUAUUAUGUUAUUUGGUGUAGAAAUAUGUUAUUUGGUGUUGAAAUAUUAUGUUAUUUGGUGUAGAAAUAUAUAUGUUAUGUGGUGUAAGAAUAUAUUUGUUAUUUGGUAUAGAAAUACAUAUGUUAUCUGGUGUAGAAAUAUAUUUGUUAUUUUGUGUAGAACAUAUGUUAUUUGGUGUAUAGAUAUAUUUGUUAUUUGGUGAAGAAAUAUAUAUGUUAUAGAAAUAUAAUUGUUAUUUGUUAUAGAAAUAUUAUAUAUAUAUAUAUAUAUAUAUAUAUAUAUAUAUAUAUAUAUAUAUAUAUGGGUUUGCUACAAUAGACCCACUUCAUUUUAUAAAGUCUAUUUUAGCAUCCAGCACCUUUUUAUUUGGACAAAAACCCACUUUUCUCUUUCUCAUUGGUUUCUUUGUUCUGUAUUGUUCCUCUUUAACGUUUCCCAGUUUCUUUUUAUGCAUUGUUCUUCCAUUUUCUUAAACUGUUAUCGGCAACUAGCAAUACUACUGAUCCAUAAAAGGAUAUCUAUGUAUACCCCUUCUAUGAAAAUUUUGAAAAAAGAAAAGGAUUUACGUAUUAAUUGAACAAAUCUUCUUUGUAAGAUUUGCAAAAUAUUUUUUUGUAAUUCUAAUCUUUUAGCAUCAUAAGUAGUUUUGUUCGAAUUCAAAUUGAUCUCUGAAGUUAGAAUCCCCUCUUUUUUUUCUUCUGUCAUUGUUUCUAUUUGUUUUAUGAUUGUCUUUGUUUUAACAUUAUAUGUGGUUAUUAGAUAGAUUGUGGUUGUUUUGGAUUCAUGAAUUUGUUGGGCUCCCACGAUUACGACAAUACUUUUGUUUUCUCGUAAAAAAACAACUUUUUCUUCUUGUAAAAAAAAUAACUUUUUUUAUGAGAUUUGGCUCCGGCGAGUUCUACUGUAUGGAACGAACACCUUCAAGGUGUUGAUUUCGUCGUCUUAGGAAGUAAUGGUUAGAGGGUGAUUGGUCUUAGCACUAGGUUUGAAUGUUAUAAAUCAUGAAUUUGAGAAUGAGUGGGUAUUAACCAUAGUUGCUUAAAUUGAAGAAAAUAAAAUCGAGAGAGGAAUAAAUAAAAAAUGCAAUUGGAUGAUUUCAUAACAGUUUGCUGCACAUGAUCUGAAGAAUUUGAAGAAAAUGGAAGAACUCUUCCAUUAGAGAGAGAGAGAGUUGGCGAGAGAAUCAAUAACAAUAAUGACAAGAAAAAAGUCACUCAAAAAAAUAAAGAAAAACAUGAACAAUUAAGCAGUAAAUACAAUUUUACCCUUGACUUUUGCUUUUUUUAAAAUUUGAAAGAUGGGUUUUUGGUCCAAAUGAAAAGGUGUUUGGCGCUAAAAUAGACCUUCAUAAAAUGAAGUGGGUCUAUUGUAGCAAAUCCUAUAUAUAUAUAUAUAUAUAUAUAUAUAUAUAUAUAUAUAGAAUAUUGAGGCUGAGGGCAGAAUAGGAAAUAAGAGAAAAUAAGUAGGUUAAUGAUUUAUAUAAAAGGAAAGAGUUAGAAUUAGAAAAUAAGUAUCACGUGUAACCUAUUUUUGGAGAAAAAGGGAGAAAAUCAAGAUAGGAGAAGAGUCAGAGGGGAGAAAGCGGUAUAGUCCUUUGUCGAUCAAUCUAAGGUAAGGGUGUGACUAGCUUUCUCUAAUAAUGGGUUGUAUGAUUCUAAAAAGAGGUUUAACAUGUUGUUGUUUUGUUAGUUUUGAUGUUAUAGAAAUUAGAGUUAAAUUGCAGAAUUGAUGAUUUUCUAAAAUAAUGUUUUGGAUCAAGUUUAAUAUGGUUUUGAGUCUAUUUUGAUGCAUAUAAAUGUUUUGACAAACUUUGGGAUCAAAUUUGGGCAUAGGGAAGUUAAAAUUGAGAUUUUGGGGUGAAAAAUGGGUUUUUCCCGAGUUGCUCUCCCACAGCACGUCCUGUUUCAUGUUCUUGUGUCUUUUUCACACACUUCUGUUUUGAAUUGGCCUUUGGUGUAAACAUGAAAGUUUUAGAUAAUUGAGUUAGCUUUCCAGUGGCUUUGGUUUGACGUGAAAAUGAUUUUUGGUUCUUGAGAUAUGAUAAAAAUACUCCAAGGAGGUCUUAGUGAAAUCUUAUGAAAAUUCAGCAUAACCGUUCCAAGUUAAUCCAAAACUUAAGGAAUAAUUUCAAACCUCAAAACUAGAAGUACUAUGAGUUCAACUAGGGUGUUUAAGAGUAUUUAACCUAUGUUGUGAUGGAUCUAAUUUGGUUUGACGUGAAUAUCUUUGUUGGAUAAUAUGAAAUACAUAUAUUAUGUGAAUGUUGUUGUUGAAUAAUUUGUGUUACACAUAUUUAUGUGGAAAAGGUAUGAUAUAGAAAAUAAUGUUGUUAUAUCAUUCAAGUUUUUAUUAUUAAUGAUGCUAUGUUGUGAAGUUGUUGUCUCUGCUGUAUUGAUUAUUAAAUCAUUAAGUUGCAUAUGUUGGUCAAGUUGUUAAAGUUGUAAGUUGUUGUCCAUGUCGUUAAAGUUGUAAGUUGUUGUCCAUGUCGUUGAAGUUGUUGGUUGUCGUUGCAUUAGCUGUUGAGUCCAUGCAUACUCAUUUACGUUGAGGGCUUGAUGCCCUAUGAGCUUUUGCUCUUUAAGUUGAGGGCUUGAUGCCCUGGGAGUGUAUUUAUGCUCAAUAUGUUGAGGGCUUGAUGCCCUUUGAGUUUUUGCUCUUUAAGUUGAGGGCUUGAUGCCCUGGGAGUGUAUUUAUGCUCAAUAUGUUGGGGGCUUGAUGCCAUGGAUUGGUACCACAUGCAUGAUUAAGAAGUCGAAGUUGCAUUUUCGAGUCAAAGUCGUUGUUGAUGAGUUGUCAUCCAUGAGUUGUUAAGUUGUUGAUGAGUUGUCAUCCAUGAGUUGUAAAGUUGUUGAGUUGUCUUCUAUCCACGUGUUGUUAAUGAAGUGCUUAUGAAGAUUAUAUGAUGUUGUUUAUGAUAUUGAUUAUGAUGUUGUUAUGUUGUUUAUGAUAUUGAUUAUGAUGUUAAGAUGAUGUUUAUGAUGUGUUGUUUAUGUCAUUAUAAGAUGAUGUUUAUGAUGUAUCGUUUAUGUUGUUAUAAGAUGAUGUUUAUGAUGUGAAUAUUAUGUCGUUUAUUGAUGAUGUUUAUGAUUAUUAUGUGCUAUAUGAUGUUGUAUAUAAUGCUUUUGAUGAAUUAUAUGCUUAUUAUUAUUGAAUGUGAAAUCUCACCCCUUCUGCUUGGAAAUGUUGCCCUCACAAUUGGGUAACUUGCAGGUAAUCAAGAUUAGCUAUGAAGUGAGUCGAUUAUCUCACAUGUGUCUUAGGUGCUCUGAUUAUUAUUGUUAUUGGAUGGGAAUUUUGUUGUUGUUUUCUGUUCCUUACGUAUUAUUCUAUGAAGUUUUAUGAACAUGUUGUUGGAAUAACUUUAUGAGAUUUUACAUUGAGGCCUUGGUGCCAAGGUUGUUUUAAACAUUGAAGUAAUUUCCGCUGCAAUAAGAUUUAAUUUGAUGAUUGAGAUAAUUAGUAAUUUUACUAUAUUCAGAUUUGAAAGAAGUGUAGCAUUAUGUUUAGUUGAAUUACUCUGAUUUAUGCAAAAAAUUUCAAGUUGGAAAAACGGGAUGUUACAGUUGUUGUUAGAGAGUUACCAAAAAAGGAUUGAUACCCAUAUUUACCUCAGAUGAAAUCAAGCAAAGAAGUAGCAUCGGUGAGUGAAGACAAUCUAGUCUAGGAUUAGAGUUAAGGUGAUCUGCUGAAAUUCUGGUCAAAAUCGUGGCACAAUCCUGGUGUGACAGACAACACUAGAUUUUCCGCUUUCGCGUUUUCGCGCAUAAAAAUCAAACCAUUAAUCCGUUUUCGAUGCCGUUUUCACCUACGUGUUCAUGACACUUAACCCUAUCUUAAUGUACAGAAAAUUCAAGUUUCAAAAUUCCCAAAUUCAUUUUCCAAAGCCUUACACAACACUCAUUUUUCCAAAACGGUUAACAAUUGAAUUUUCAUCCGAAACCCCCAAUUUCUCCCAACGACUCGACUAUCACAACUACAAUAUAAAAACAGAAAUUCCAUCAAGUUUAACUCAUCCAACCACAUAGACAACUCAGUCAACAACUUUGUAUAUCAAAUUUCACUUUGGUCCUUCACAUGAUCAUCUAGCACAACUUAACUAAUACAAACAACUUAUUUCAUAAAAUGGAAUAUCCAUGAUAUCAUUCAACAACAACAACAUAUCUACUUCAACAACACUUCAAUUAGACAUGAAUUCAACCAUAAUUCAACAACACAAUAUCCCAAUCCAACAAUUGAGCAAAACACAUAAGUAUCCAUUUUCACCAAACUAACAACAACAACUUACUUCACAACAACAAAAUUAUGAAUCAUGCAUACCCAAGCCAUGAAUUAGCAUCCAUAACAUCACUUAACAACAACAACAUCUAUUGAUCAUGAAACUUAUCACAAUUCAUCAAGAACCAUGCAUAAUUCACCAAUUGAGCAUAAUUUACAAACUACCCAUUUUCAUACAUCAUGAACUUGCAAUUUCAUCAUCAACAAUUCAUUUAACAUCAAAUUAACAUAUUAAAACAAAAAUCUACAACAUAAGCACGAAUUUCAAAGAUUGGGUUCAUGAUAAUCGCUUAUUCCCAUAAUCAAUUAUGCAUAGAAUAAGAGAAAAAGAAUCAACUAAAUGAUUAUGAUAAAAACUAACCCCCUUACCUUAAUUAUCUCAAACUAUUAGCUCUAGCUUCACUUUUGCUCCUAUGAUUCUUCAAACCCUUGAAUUCUUCAAGUUCCUCUUCUCUCUAACCCUUGUUCUUCUCUUCUCCCACUUUCUCUCUCUAUCUCUCGCUAGAAAAUAUCUUAUGAAAUGAAUGAAGUGAUAUUUUCCUAAGACAACUCCUUAGGUAUGACCCUUAAUGAUCUUAACCUAGUUUCUAGCGGGCUUAACCCAUUUCUAUUCAAACCAAAAUAUUUCUACACUUCAAACGAUAUUUAACUAAUAACGGUAAAAUGUCACUAACGGUCACUAAACGGUAAAAUCUCAAUUUACUCUAGUAACUUAAUGAAUAACUAUUCUCACUAAUCGCUAAAAGUAAUUCCCACCAAAAAUUAUAAUUUUACCCGUUCUCACAAAAUGACCAAAAUACCCUUAAGUCUAAAAGACUAAAAUACCCUUCUAACACGGAAACCCAUGAAAAUGCACCAAAUGAUGAUUAAUCACACACAAACACAUAUAAACACAUAAUAAAAGUAAUUAAAAUAAAUCUAGCUAAAAAUUGGGCUGUUACAGUUUACGAUUACAGUCCAAAGUUAUACAUCAAAAUAGUAGAAGUUCAAAUAGUUCAGCACAAAAGAUAUACUUUUGAACAACUCGAUCGUGCAAGUUCUUCGGUGACUUUUUGAGAUCAAAGAUGAGCUUACCACCUUCUUCCAUCACACGUUCUCGACAGAAAUUGAACCACUGCCCAUCCAAGUUUUUUUCAUAGCUUGCUCUAUCGGGGGUAAUGAGGCGACACUUAUACUUUCUCUGUGUCUGGUCAUCAAUGAGAGUGAUUAUUUUGCGCUUUCCUUUCGGAAUUGUUAUUGACACCUCGUUUAGGAAAUGCUAAAUAGGAAAAUAACUGCAAUAUUAGUCUAAUGCAUAUUAACAUGUGUAAGGUGUAUGUAAAUAUAGUUACAUAUAAUUUAUAAAAUAAAGGUAGCAUAAUUGAUUUUAAGCUAAAGCAAAUGUACCCGGUUGACCAAUUAACAUUGAUGAAACAAAUGGAAAUUAAGCAUCACUCCCGCAUGUGCAUCUAUAGCUAGCACCAUUUGACAUUGAUGUCUUCGAACAUUCGGUGCAACUCUCAUAAUACAAUCCAAACUGGUUAGAAUUAAAUUUAGUUGUUUUCAAUAUAGUGAUGCAGUAUGUAUCCUAACACAAAGUAUGCACAUGAAAUAACGAAUAAUGCAAUAUGUGUUUUUAAUUUGUGCGUAAAAAAACUCAAAGUUUAUAAAUUCAGCAAUUGGCCUAACCUGAGACAGAUUAGAAAAAUCAGUGUACGAAGUACGUUGAGAAGAAGUCGAACUCUAACUUAAGUUCUAACUGAAUCUUUGACUCUGAGCUUAAGAAGUGUUAAGGUCACGACAACAAUUCAAGAAACAUGGUCAAAAAACAAUCAAAUCAGAUUGUGAAAUAAUAAGUUACUCUAACACUGUAUUUUGAAAUCAUAAUGCAAACUUACUAAGUCUUAAACUUCUCAACAACUGAAUGAUGUAGGUUGAUGAGCAGCCUCGAACCUGACCAAUUGUUACAUAUAUUUGGGCUGCCAUUAACUACAAAAUGGAAGCAAAGAACUCAAGGUAAAUAGAUGGUAAAUAAUAAAGCCACAAAGUAUGCCUUUUUCCCAUAGUGUUACAUCAACUAUAUUCCCGGUGCAUAAGGAAAGACAUCUUUCAGGUCAUUAUUAAAUGUAUACAAAAUUCUAUCAUCUGAUGCUGCUAAAUAGAAAAUAAUAUUUUUUCUAUUUAGCAAUGUUUAGUUUUUUUGAAUAAGAAAACGAUAUGUAUAGUUUUUCCAAUAUAAAGGUGCAAAAUAUAUAUAUAUAUAUAUAUAUAUAUAUAUAUAUAUAUAUAUAUAUAUAUAUAUAUAUAUAUAUAUAUAAGAUAAGUAUAAUUUUUUCUUCAGGCAUCUAUACCUUUUUUUUGAAGAAAAGUCAUUUACAAUUUUAGUUUUAAUUAAAAUCAAAAUUUUAUAAAAAUAAUCAUAUGUAUUAUGCAACACCAAAAAAAAUUAUAUGCAUUAGCGUAAAAAAUAAACACACAAAGUGUUAUUCUAAACGCUAAUGUAUGUGUGUAUAUAUUUGCGAGGUUGAAGAAAAAAAGUAAAAAUAUUUGGUAUCAUAAAUGAUAGCGUGAAUAAAAAUAUUUGUGAGGUUGUGAUGAUUAAACGAUAUUUAAAUUAAAUAUAUAAGUGAUAAAAAGAUAAUAAAAUUCCUUUGAAAAAGGUAAUAAAAUUAAAUGGAACCUCCUUAAAAAAAUUAAAUGGAAGAAAAAAAACAUAUUAAAAUAUAAUAUUAGUUUUUUUGAAGAGAGAUGCUUGUGAAAUAAAUUGUCGAGAAGUAGUUUUUUGAAGUAGCAUUCAAUAACUUUUGGUCAAAGCUCAUUCAAUUCAAUUUUAUGCUUUAAAAAAAAGUUCCCUUUUUAGUAAGUACUUAAUUGAUAUUGUGUUUUACCUAACUUCUCCUUUAAAAUGUAGAGAAGUAGAAAGAAAAAAAAAAUCGGGUCAGAUGGUACCUUAAUCUCCCACAAGGGCAAUGUAGAACCAACUGAAUUUGGGAGAAAAAAAAAAUUGAAAAAUAGUUAAAAAUAAAAAAAAUUGGAAAAUAGUUAAAAGUUUUUAAAAAUAUAAAAAUUGAAAAAUAGUUAAAAGUUAUUAAAAAUAUAAAAAUUAGAAAAUAAUUAAAAAAAAAGGGUGAGGGGCAAAAUGGGAAUUAUGACAUAAAAAUGGUGUGGUAGCACUAACCAAAACCGCUAAUUAGUAAAUUACCAAAUUGCCCCUCUUAGGGGCAAAAUGGAAAAUUCAUAUGGCAUUAAUUUUAAUAAAUUUAUGUAUAUAGAUAGAUAGAUAGAUUUUUAUAAUCUUAUAGGGAGAGGUCAUCCAUAGUGGUCUUCUACCAACUUGCAAAUUGAGUGAUAAUUUAUUGAUUAUUAAUUUCUUGCAAGCAAAGCAACCGAGCAUGUUUGGUUCAAGACCAUUUUUUUUUAUUUUUUUUUUUAUAAUAAUUAGCGAAUGUAAUCUUCUAAAUAACCUUGUCAAGGGUAGGUAGGAGUGUUAGACUAAAAAUAUAUCACGAGAUGUUGUAUAGAAAAAAUGAAACGACAUUUAUUGAGACAAAUUUCUUUUGCUAAAAUGAAACUUACUAUUUUAAAAUAGAGAGAGUACCAUGCAUCACUCUCAAUUUAUUAUUCUCUCGAUUUGCAUUUAUCAUCUUUUUAUUAAUCUAUGUGAAAUGGACGCUUAUUUUAUAACUUUGGGACGGAGGGCAUAUGUAAAUUGUUAUUAUGAUUGUGGUUCUUGAAAAUACCUUAUUACCAAUAUCAAUGAAGUACAUGAUUGUCAUUGUAGAGCCAAUUUCGAGAAUUGUUAAAAGGAUUUGCUAAAAGGAUUUAUCUGUAACGAUCAGUUUGCCAGACUUUUGACAAAAUGAUUGAUUGCCAUUGGUUCUUCAUUGUGAUUUAGCACCGUUUUCUCCCUAUAACUAACAUUAAAACAGAAAUCACCAUUAAUACCAUAUUUUUCAUCAUGAAAAGCUUCCAUGCAUGAAACAUUGUGCAAAACUUCAACACAAAAAAGUAUGAUACACAACAGAAUAAUGGACAAUACCCCAAACACCAAAAAGAACAUAAUAACCAACCCAAUUUUCAAGUCCAAAAUUAAAUGGAUGAACACAACUCAGCAACAUGGAAGAACGAGUUCAGCAGAUCACAACAAAGUUAUAAAUCUAAUCAGCUAAGAUACAAAGUACCCAAUCAAACGAUUAUGACUAAGAUGCUAAGUUUUUUCUCUUUCAAACUGACAGCAUAACCUUUACUCCAGCAAGUAAAUUUUACAAACAUAUUGUUGGGAAAAACAUAUGCUGCAUUACGCAACAUUUCAUGCCUACAGACUUAAAAUACUAUCAGUAGCAUAGUUUUAAAAACCGGACCGGACCGGCCGGUCGAACCGGUCCGACCGUGAACCGGAGGGGUAACCGGUUCGGUUGGCAUGUUGGAUCGAUCAUGCAAUCAAACCGGUGCGAACCGGCAUGAACCGGACAAACUCGGUUAAAACCGGUGAACCGGCGGUUUAAUGAGCCAACCGGGUUACAAAUUUGUUUUUUAAUGAAUAAUUAUAUUAUUUACCAAAAAAUUGAAAACUGGCCUUGCUGUGGAUCGAACCGGCGACCAAACAGUCACAAACUUUUCAAAGGCACUAAUAAUCCACUGCACCACUGCUGUUUGUUGUGAUGAAUUGUUGAUUCAUUUUGAUUGUAUAUUAUUUCAAAAUAUCAUAAACUAAAAGUACACCAUUUUUUUUUCCGUUACACUAAAACUACUCCAUUUCAAUUCACAUUUUAACUUGUAUUUUAUAAUUUUUUUUUUGCAUAAUUUGAAUUUUGUCAAUUUUUUUGCAUAACUUGUAUUUUGUCUUUCUUAUAAAAUAAUAGAAACAUGUAUUCUCUUUUUAUUUUAUCUUCAUAAUAUAUUGUAUAAGUAAAUGUUUCAUAACAUAUAUAUAUAUAUAUAAAAGAAUUAAUUUGUGUUUGAUCAUAUAAUAAGUGUUGAACCCGCAUCUCUUAGAUUAUUUUAGUUUCUAAAGUGACCGAGUCACCGAUUCAAUAAGAGUUAAUCCAAUUAAAUAACUAUAUAAAUUUAAUCUAAGGACCGAGUUAUCUAACCGAGUCAUCCGAGUGGUUCCGAUUCAGUCAUGCGGUUCGACCAAUGACUCAAUGAUUCGACCAUUAACCCAUUGACCCAGUAUCCCACCGAGUCGAUGACCGAGCCGAGUUUUAAAACUAUGAUCAGUAGCAAAAUUGUUUCCAUGAACAAGUUCUUUAAUUGAUGCUACUCUGAACAAUUCUAUUGCAUACAUCAAAUGUUAAUAUUUUGAUAGGAACUUGGAUUUGAUUGAAAAUAAAGAUAAUCUCCUUACAGCAGAGGAAAACUCCAGUAAUCCCACAAAGAACAAAAUUAAAAUUGAUAAACUUGGAAGACUUCAUAAACCAACAAGUUCAAAACCUUACCAAAUAUUUAUCUAAUAGUAGCUAAAUCUCGGCUUCAACUCACAUUUUGGUUUACCUAAAAUAUAAACUCAUCAACUAGACAUUCAUACGCCAAAAACAGACUUCCAACCAAUCAAACAAUCAUAUUCGACAAAACAUUUGGAAAAUACACCAUAAUCGUAAAUUAUGCCGGCAAACCAAAGGCUAUUUCAUUCAUUCACAGAAUCAACAACAGGAUUACACCACACAGUACAGGGAAAGGAGAACUUCAGUUACAUGGAUUGGAUUUUUUACACUGAGCGAAGGUAUACGAUGUUGGGCAACAAACUGCAAUAUUUUUAAUAAAAGUAAUUUCUAAAAACCACAGUCUACAGGUUUAUAAAUUUCUCCAAUUCUAACCAUAACAUCAGCGCAAAGGAAAGCAAAAAUCUGCAGCAUGCAAAACAACAAACCCAGAGAGAAACCAAAACAUGAAAUAUCCUACUAGCAACAAUUUUGAGAAGUAAAAAGUGACAAAAUUCUAAAAGCUACCAGUUAAGUUCUUCUUCCAUUAUGUCAAUCUAGAUUCUACUACUGUAGUCCAUGUAGUUGCAAAUUAUGAUAUCCAUUAUGCAAUAUUGUUAAGUUGAUUUUAUGUCAUAUUUGAUCGAAAUAGAUAGAUAGAUAGAUAACAAUCAGAAAAAACGUGUUUCUAUGUGACAAAUUUAUAAAAAUAAAAAGCAAUCCGUAACUAAAAUAGAAAACUAUCAUCAAUGAGAUAAUAAUUUAAAGAAAGUAGAGAGGAUCUAGAAUGUAUAUUUGCAAAACUUUGCCAUAAACGACAAAAAUGAAACAAAGUUCAUGUCUUUCAAAUCAUCAAAUCCUACUAUUACAUAUUUAGAAUCAACAAAAUAAAAGUUUACAUGUUGUAGGGCCCAUUGUGGAUGAAGAUAAUUUCAUUAACAUUUGGUUCUUUGCAUAUCUUUUUGCGAAGCCGGUACUCUUAAUUGCCAUAGUUUGAAGUACUUUUGAAUUCUCCAUAAUAUAUGUAACAAAUUGAAACUCACUUUUCUUGUCUUUGUAAUCUAUAAGGACGAAUGUUUUGAGCUGUGAAGAAAGACACUGUGGAACAAUUGGUGGAUUCUUCCAAUCUUUGGCAACCUCCUCAUUAUCAUAUCGAUCUAGACAGUCCUGCAAGCAAUUCACAUAAUUUAUUUUUAAAAUUUAAAAUACUUGGAAUUAGAUAUAAAACGUAAAUUAAAAAAAAUCUUAAACAAAAAACAAAACUUGAAUGAUAAAAUUUUGAAGUUUCGGGCAAUGUUCGAGCAAUUCUAACAACCACAUCAAAUUCUCCUCCAAAAAUACAUCUGUAAAGAUAACCAUGAUGCAGGUCAGACAGUGAAAGAAGGGAAGUUUUGUGCGAGAGGUCCACCCCAUAUCCUGCAUGAGUUACACAAGGCACAACAUUAGAAAUGUAUAAACAUCAGAUAUAUAUAUAUAUAUAUGGACAAAACUUCACAAGACUUUUACGAUUUUUGUAAAGAACACCAUUCCAACGUAGAAUUUUCAGAACCGGAAAAUUAAAAUCGAAAUCUCUUACGAUUAUCUUUUUCAAAUUCAGAACUUGAAGAUUCAUACAAGUAAAAACACGAGGAGGCAAUUCAACUGCUAGGAUAUUGCGAGAAACGACUGUAAGAAAGUAGAGAUUCUUGAUUCGUGAGUUUUUAAAAACUAAGUUAAGAAUCUGAUUGAGACGUUUUGCAUUGCAGCUUGUAGUUUUGAAGGUGAAGGAAUGGAUUGGGAGUGUAGUGUCGCGUGAAGUUGAUGAAGGAAUUGAAGUGUUGGAAGGUUUGAUCGUCGAAGUGGAGGGUGAGAAGUUGGAGGUAUAGGGAUUUGUAUCUCUUUGAGAGGAUGGUUGUUGUUGCAGCGAGUUUGGUUGGUAGGAAGGAGAGGAUGUAAAGGAGGAUUGAAUCUGUUAAGUCGCUCAUUCUAUCGUCCAUUGUUACCGAGAGAGUUUGAAAAGGAGUUGAAGGAUUGUCGUUGGGAUGGGAAAUAUAUAGUAAAUUGAACAAACUUUUCACAUUCUAUUUAGUAAAAAUUGUUUGGGAGUUUAAAAAGGAGCUCACAAAAGAUCUUGAAAAUGUGGACCGAUUGAUCAUUCAAUGUAAUUGGAAUUUCCAAUGUACGUAAUGGUUCUAAUUAAUUCCAAUGUACUAGAAAAUGAAUCAGUAACUAAUUCCACUCAUUUAAUACUAAGGCACUGUUUGGUAAGACACCUAAAUUAGCUUAUAAGUUCGUUUGACAAAAAAAGUUCUGUUUGGUAACACUUUUUCACCAUGAGCUUAUAGCUUAUUUCAUGAGCUUAUAAGCUAUUUUUCAGAAGCUAUUCCAAGUAGCGUUUGAGCUUAUAGCUUAUAGCUUCUCACUUUUUCUUCCACUUUUACCCUUAUUAUUUCAUCUAAAUUCCAUUUUUACCCACUACAAUUUAUUAUAAUAUAGCUCCAUAAUAAAUACCACUGUCUAUUUUUUUUUAGAAAAUAUUACUAGCCCUUGUUAAUAAAUACACCAACCCGCUUUCUUUGUAAUUCUUUGUAUACAAUAUACCAUUUUUUUUUUACAGAACAAUAUACUAAUAGUUUUUUUUAAGGAACAAUAUACUAUUAGUGUUAUUUUUUUACUCUAUGGCUUUCGUUGUUAUUUUUUUUUAAUAUGCCUUACAAAAAAUUGACGCAACGCAACAAUAUACCUUCAGUUUUUAUUUAUUUAUAUUUUUUAUGAAAAUAUACCUUAGUGUUAUGCUCUUUAUUAUUUUUUUAAGCUCACGGACAUGUUCUUUAUUCUGGAUUAUUCUUUAAAAAAUAUACCAUCAAUUGUGUUACAUUUUAAUGAAAUUAUACCUUUCAUUAUUUUUAAGUAUUUUUAAAGAAAAUUUAGAUUACGAAAUUACAAAUACUUAAAUAUUAUUUGAUAUGAUUUUAUUAUAAAUUAAGAAUGCCCUUUAUGUCAUUUUACAUUUAUCAGCUAGUUGAACAGCUAGUUUUACCAAACACUUCAGUUAGCUUAUAAGCUAUCAAUCAUCAGCUAUAAGCUAUAAGCUAUCAGUCAUCAGCUAUAAGCUAUAAGUUAGCUUAUCAGCUAUCCGCUAUUUUUACCAAACAGAGCCUACAACACUAUACUAAAAGCUCUUUUCCUUCAUGGAUCUUGCUAACCAGUGCCCUUAGGCCAAUGGUUAAGGAAAGCUCCCACCAAUCUUAAACUCUAGAAAUUGAAAAAGUAGGAAAGUAAUGUCAAAAGACGUCUGAUUGUCUGAAAGGAGUCCAGAUAUAGGUCUUUUUUUUUUGUUACAAGGUUUAGAAUCAAAGCUUCCACAACCAAAUUAUAAAACAGCAAAUAACAAAUAAAAUAGAAAAGCCAAAGUCACUUAGUGAAUGGAAUCCACAUUUUCCUUGAUUUGUGCAGGAUGAGGAGAAAAUGUGUUAUUUCGAAUUGAAGCACCAUAUAAGAAAUGAAGAACAAAAUACGACACCUUUGAGCUGUAACACAGAGAACCCGAAUUUCUGUCCACAUUAACACAAUAAAUAAUCUAGUCAGUUAUCUUAUACAGUUGCAAUUUAAUUGAUCAUGUUAAAUGAAGCGUCCCUAUAAAACUGGAUGCCACUGCCAAAUUGCAUUACAUGAUAUGAUAGCACAUCGAAAUUUAAAUCAAUAAAAGUACAAUAAAAGUUAUAACCAGCAUCGUUCAUGAAAAGUAUCUUCAGUUAUUUCACAAGAUAUUUGUGAAAUAACUCAUCAGGUUCCCUUUUGCAACCAGUUUUACCACCUGAUGAGUCUACUCAGUGUUAAAAUGCAUUCACACUCAGGCCAGAAAAUGGUGUUUUUGAAUAAUGAAUUUGGUGUUUCAUUUAUGUCCAUUUACUCUCCUAUUAAAUUAUAUAUAUAUUUUUCAUUUAUUUUGAAGAGAAAGAAUAGUGAAAAUGUCAAGCCUAUUAAAGAUAAAUAAGAGAAGCAUGGCGCGAUCAGAGGAGAGGUACCUUAUUAUUUUGAAGCUGUCUAGAUACCAUAGAGCAUUCUCUUUAGCUCAGGACUCCUUGGAGGAUGAUUUUAUAGUGUGAAUCUCAUAAUCAUAGAAUUUUGGGCCAACCCAACGACGAAAGAAAACAAGAGGAACAUGCUUGAUAAUCCAGUAGCUGUGUCCUUUGUCUGGUUCAAUGCUGUUAACAAAUUUAUCUGGCAUAUCAGAUAAUUCAAAGAUUUUGAGUUUAUCCAAGUGUUUGAUGCCAGAGGGUACCUCCUUCAGUUGGAGGAUCUUUUCCAAUCUUAUAUACUCAAGAGAAAUCAAAGCUCCUUUCUCUAUAAGAAUAGAAUUUGGUCUAUUCAAGUAACUGAGAAUCAGUUCUUUCAAUUUUUGAAAUCCUCCAUUUUGAAAAUGCAAAAUUUCACCAUCGUAAGCAUCGUCCCACACAGAUAGCUUCAGUAAAUUUGGCAAGUUUUUUAGUGACUGCAUUGGAUCAUCUUUCAGCUUGGAUAAAGCCAGCUUUAUCUCAACAAGAUACUCCAAUUUUGGGAUCCAUUCAGGCAAUGUAUCUAGUUUAGCUUUCAAAUGAAGCCGCCUAAGUUUUGGUGGGGUUGACGCAAAGUUUAAGUCAAUAAUUUCAUCCUCUGCUAUUGCAGUGAUAUUAAGUGAUUCAAGGUGUUGCAUCUCUUCUACUGCAGCACUUAUGGCCUCCCCAUGUUCUCUUCUUACAUGCCUUAAACCUAACCUUCUUAACUGCCUUAACAUUUUCAUCUCUUGAAUGAGAUCUACCCCCCCAUGAUCGACCUCCACAUAAUAUAGGUUUUGAAGGGAAGUCAAGUUUUUAAUACCUUUUUUCACCAACACACCGGUUGUAAAUCCCAAAAGAGAAUACUUUGCAUCAUAAUUAUUAUGGAAAGCAAGAAGGUGCCGUAGCUUUGUAAGCUUGUUUAUUUCACUUGGCAUCUCAUGAACAGAUGUGUCUCUUAAGUCCAAUGUCUCUAAGUUCUGUAGUUCACCAAUAGAUUUAGGAAGAACCUUUACUUUUGUAUUCCUUAGGUUUAAGUACCUUAAGUGAAAAAGAUUCCCAAAAUUAUUAGGAAUAUAAUUCAAAGAC
rnacentral:lncRNA from 1 species